AUGAAAGACAGCCAGCUUCUGAAGGAAGAUGCAGGAAUAGAAGAGGCAAAUGAUAGCCUAGCUGGUGUUACUGCUUAUAUCAAGAAAUCAUCAACCAGUGUUUCAUCCUCUGGACAAAACUUGAAUAUGCCAGAGGAUGAAACUUUAGAGAUGGUAAAUAUCAGACUGACAUUAUGCUUUGUGAAAUAGAAAUGGACACUGAUCAGAACACAAUAGAGAAUCUCCCUGAUAAAGACUCAGCAGUGGAAGAACCAGUUUCACCAUUGCUUCCUCCACCAAUAGAAUAUUGUGAAGCAGUGUCCGACACUGCUCUAACAUCACUUCCUGCUGCCAUGGCAGUAAGUAAGUCUCAGGAUAUUGAUGAAGACGAAGGCAUAUACAGUCAUGAUGAAGUGAUCUAAGCAACAACACAUCACAGGAUAGUGAUAAUUCUGGAUUGCAUGGGGCUCAGCUAGCUCCACAAGAAACUAGUAGAAAAAAUUCAAAGAAAGCCAAAGUGUCUAAAGGAGAUUUUGUUUGUAUCUUCUGUGAUCAUUCUUUCAGAAAGGAAAAGAUUUCAGCAAAUACCUCAAUUUCCUUUUGGUUAAUGUGUACUUCCUUGAAAAAUCAGCUCAAGGGCAGGAGCAAUGGAACUUUGGAUGAGGUUUCAGUUCUUAGUUUAUAAGGUCUAUUACAUUUUUAUUCAUUCACAGUAGUAGACAACCUUUAAGAUUGCUUUAAUAAGUUUCCAAUGUUGAUUUUUGGAAAACUCAAGUGCCAUUCUUUUCCUUAGAACUUUAUAUAUACACCUAUUAAUUGUAUAAAUUUUAGCAAAUCCAAGGGAG